rnacentral:rRNA from 1 species
AUUGAACGCUGGCGGCAUGCCUUACACAUGCAAGUCGAACGGUAACAGGUCUUCGGAUGCUGACGAGUGGCGAACGGGUGCGUAAUACAUCGGAACGUGCCCGAUCGUGGGGGAUAACGAAGCGAAAGCUUUGCUAAUACCGCAUACGAUCUACGGAUGAAAGCGGGGGAUCUUCGGACCUCGCGCGGACGGAGCGGCCGAUGGCAGAUUAGGUAGUUGGUGGGAUAAAAGCUUACCAAGCCGACGAUCUGUAGCUGGUCUGAGAGGAUGAUCAGCCACACUGGGACUGAGACACGGCCCAGACUCCUACGGGAGGCAGCAGUGGGGAAUUUUGGACAAUGGGCGCAAGCCUGAUCCAGCCAUGCCGCGUGCAGGAUGAAGGCCUUCGGGUUGUAAACUGCUUUUGUUCGGAACGAAAAGGUGCCUUCUAAUAAAGGGCGCUCAUGACGGUACCGUAAGAAUAAGCACCGGCUAACUACGUG